AUUGAACGCUGGCGGCAGGCUUAACACAUGCAAGUCGAGCGGAGAUGAGGUGCUUGCACCUUAUCUUAGCGGCGGACGGGUGAGUAAUGCUUAGGAAUCUGCCUAUUAGUGGGGGACAACAUUCCGAAAGGAAUGCUAAUACCGCAUACGUCCUACGGGAGAAAGCAGGGGAUCUUCGGACCUUGCGCUAAUAGAUGAGCCUAAGUCGGAUUAGCUAGUUGGUGGGGUAAAGGCCUACCAAGGCGACGAUCUGUAGCGGGUCUGAGAGGAUGAUCCGCCACACUGGGACUGAGACACGGCCCAGACUCCUACGGGAGGCAGCAGUGGGGAAUAUUGGACAAUGGGGGGAACCCUGAACCAGCCAUGCCGCGUGUGUGAAGAAGGCCUUAUGGUUGUAAAGCACUUUAAGCGAGGAGGAGGCUACUGAGACUAAUACUCUUGGAUAGUGGACGUUACUCGCAGAAUAAGCACCGGCUAACUCCGUGCCAGCCGCCGCAGUAACAC
rnacentral:rRNA from 1 species